GGGGGGGGUGUCCUCUUUUUUUCAGUGAUAUAAACCGGGUUACAUUUGCAGUCUAACGAAAAUAAAAAAGUGUAUCUUACCUGCUGUCAAUACUGUUACGAUUUGUGAAAACAAGCACAAGUAUAUCAACAGAACCAUUAGGGAUGAAUUCUCUCUUAUAAACUUUCCAUUCAUAUGUGUACAAACAUAUAUUUUUGGGAU
rnacentral:lncRNA from 1 species